rnacentral:rRNA from 1 species
CCUACGGGCGGCAGCAGUGGGGAAUAUUGGACAAUGGGCGAAAGCCUGAUCCAGCCAUGCCGCGUGUGUGAAGAAGGCCUUCGGGUUGUAAAGCACUUUCAGUGGGGAAGAAAGCCUUGGGGCUAAUACCCUCGAGGAAGGACAUCACCCACAGAAGAAGCACCGGCUAACUCCGUGCCAGCAGCCGCGGUAAUACGGAGGGUGCGAGCGUUAAUCGGAAUUGCUGGGCGUAAAGCGCGCGUAGGCGGUCUGAUAAGCCGGUUGUGAAAGCCCCGGGCUCAACCUGGGAACGGCAUCCGGAACGGUCAGGCUAGAGUGCAGGAGAGGAAGGUAGAAUUCCCGGUGUAGCGGUGAAAUGCGUAGAGAUCGGGAGGAAUACCAGUGGCGAAGGCGGCCUUCUGGACUGACACUGACGCUGAGGUGCGAAAGCGUGGGUAGCAAACAGGAUUAGAUACCCCGGUAGUC